GGUCACCGAUUUCAUGGGUAUAUGGAUACCUGAACCAAACUCAAGAGUACAUUGGAUGGCGGACGGUUCUCCUGGGAGCCAUGAAAUUGCGCUGUUGAAGCUUAUACGAGUUCAAACCAAUGCGGCUUCUAAACGGAUUCACCUGGAUUAGUGCAUGCUUCAGAUAUUCAAAAUCUACGUUCCUCAACUCUCUGCAACCUUUAUCUCUAUCUCAUGGUGGACCGUUUGGUUAAAGGAUGUUUAACAGAGGAGGCCCUCUUUAGGCAAGAAAUUGGUUUUCAUGCUUCUGAUUUGCAGUGGCUGCCCCAUUAGAGGAGAAUGCAUACAUUUUUCAUGUGCCUUUGCAACUUGACAAUAAAAGUACUGUUAGUUGCAAUCUACUUUGAAGGUUUAAAUCAUUUGCCACCCAACAAUGGUUGAUCGGGUACUUCUGGAAUUUAACUUGCUGACUCAAUAUUUGGUGUGCCGGGGGGUUAGAGUGUUGGAUGUUUUGUCUCUGUGUGUGUGCAUUCCUGCUACGUGAAUGGAAUGAAGUAUAUUUGCUCUAUAUACUUGAAACUUGGGAUUCGCAUGACAUUUAAAAUGUACACUUAGUUUCAGUUUAGUUGUCGAACAAAAUUUACGCACAGAGGUCAUAUCGUAGUUACAACCCUCGUCUGUACUUGAUCGAGAGGACUUGAUAAACUAUAUAAAACAACAUCAAAAACCAAAAUACAAUGUGUGCAAAGUGGGUUACAGCAAAUUCGCCUCCAAAAUAUAAUGAAAUAAAUCUGUAUAUUUGAUUGCAAGUGAAAACCAACCCUGUAGAGGAAUAAAAUUCAAUGAUGAAAAGUGAACUUAGCAGCCAAUGGAGGUUGGAUACGUGUCAUGCAAAGGAGUAAAACAUGAGAUCAACCGCAUGAUUCUACAGCUAAUGCAAGGGAUUGACCUCCUUGGUCGUCCAACCUCAACCCUAAUUGCAGGAGACAAAUCGAUCUGCAAUAGUUAUUAAGGUUAUACUUAAUCGCUUGAUUUUUCUACAGCUACUGCAAGGGAUUGACCUCCUUGGUCGUCCAACCUCAACCCUAAUUGCAGGAGACAAAUCGAUCUGCAAUAGUUAUUAA